rnacentral:rRNA from 1 species
AAACGUUUGACACCAGUUAUGCGGGUGGAAAAUCAGUCUUUUGCAAUGGGGAGUUGUGGGCGUUCAGACCGCAAGGCUGGCGUUUGCUUCAUCUUUGUUGUAAGUGAUGCACUUUUUCAUUUGCAGGUCAACAUCAGUUUGCUUUGCUGGACAAAACCCCAAGGGAAGGUGGCAGCUUAGGCUGUGUUAUAGCCUCUGGUUGUAUACAUUGGUUGGGACUGAGG